ensembl:lncRNA
UUUUUUUUUUUUUCCCUGCAGUAACAUGUGCUCCACACUGUUGUGCAUUUUGUUUUACUUAAUAGACUAUUUGGAGAUAUCAUGUCAAUAUACAAAAGGCUACCAAAUUAUAUUUAAUGGCUUAAUGGCUCUUUAUUUAAUCAGCUCCAUAUGAUCUUAUGAUGAUACUAGUUUCAAAUCAUUCACUAAUAACACAAAGAUAAUGCUGUACUACAUAUCCAUAUGCAUACAAAAUUUCACGGAACUAACCAUGUGUCUAUCUGUAGAAUAUAAUUCCUAGAAGUAAAAUGACAGGGUUGGAUUUUACAUGCAUUUUUAAUUUUAAAGAUUUUUGUCAACAUUUCUCCAUGAAUAAAUCUUUUUCUUCACAUUUUACCAACAGAUUAUCUUGUCACAUUUUAAUCUUGCCAGUCUGAAAACAUGAGGAAUGGCAUCUUGGUGUGUUUCUUUUCAUUUUGCUUUUAUUUUUCAAAAAUUGUGGACUGACAUGCAGUUGUAACAAACAACUUGGAGAUCUGUGCACCUUUUCUCCAGUUGCCACUAGUAGUAUCAUCUUUCAAAACCAUGGUAGAAUAUCAAAACCAGGGUAGUGAGAUAGAUGCAGUCAAAACAGAGCUUCUCAUCAAUGCAAGAUCCCUGCUCUGCCCUUAGCAACACCCACUUCUCCCUGACACACCCCUCUGUCCACCCUAGAUCUCUGGCAGCCAAGAAUCUCUUCUCUGUUUCUAUAAUUUUAUGUCAGUUUGGUACAGAAAAUGGAAAGGUUUUCCUGAGUUUUGGGUGAAGAUGAAUAGCUUCAGUGUUUAAGAGAUAUUCUAUUUUCUUUUCUUUGAACUUUGUCCAUGUGUAUUUUUUUAUCAAAUCAAUUUGUAUAGGCUUGAUAUAACCCUUCACUUAUAAGUCAACAUUUUCUGUGUAGGAAUUACUAUUUUAUUUGCUGUACACAAAAUUGUGAUUUAAUUUAUCAUUUCAUUAUCUCAUGAUUUGGUAUCAAACUUAGAAAAUGUUUCCCUAUUUGGUAAUUUUUUUAAAAGUAUCUAAUUUUUUUCCCAGUAUUUUCCAAUGCUUUAUGGAUUUAUUUUUUACUAUUAAAUUUAAUUCUUUAAAAAAUUGUUAAUGCUAAUAGAAACAGUAUAAGGUGUGAUUAGGAUCCCGUCUCCAAUUGUCUACCUAGUUGUCCUAAAAAAAAUUUAUUCAUUCUAACUAAUGCCAUUUAAUGUGAUUUUUAAUGUAUUAUAUGUAUUUUAUGUAUUAUUUUUAUAAGUAUUAUGACAGUGUUUUUCAGGAAAUUAAAUAUAUAUCCUAGGACUAGUAAAAGUGAGAAGCUACAUUAUAAUCUGAAGCCAAUUAAUGUAACCUAUUAAUUCAUAUUUUGUACAGUGCUGAUUAGGAUAAAAGUGAUUGGCAAGCCAAUCAUUUCAUGGUGGAUUCACUCUGAUAUUUUCACAGGGUAGCCCUUUUCUUCAGGUCUCUGAGCCAGAUUCCUAUGGUUUCCAAAGGGUGCCAUUGACAGCAUAGGUCCAGCAGCACAAAACAUUUUUUCUUAGAAAAAUAAUUAAAAGCAGAUAAUCUGCUAACUUUUAAUAUUUAGGCUGGUUUAGCAGAUGAACAGUUCUUUUUGUACUUAGUUUUAUUAUAUUUUAUUCCUCCUUUGUGGAUAUGAGAUUUCCUCUUUCGGAAAGCUUACAUAAAAACCAAAUUUGCAUAACGUGAAAAAUGAGUCAUUCACUCAAGCACAUAAAGAGUUGCAUUGUGUUUUAGCCAUUUUAGCCCCAUGCACAGACAUCUUCCACCUAUAGUUAUAUGCUGAUCAAAAUAUUUAAUGGCAGAAAUGUAGAGGUCCUCCUAAAAGAUGCCUCAUUUGAAUUCUUCCUAAAAUGCUUUUCUAUCUUGCCAAAGAUGUCGCCAUCCUUCUGACUUUAUCAGAAUAAAUCAUUAAUAAGUAAUCCCUGGUUUCUUUUAAAAGGAAUUGUUGGAUCUUCAACAUGCCUACCAUACACUCAGCAGGCAGUAUCAAGCAAAAGCUGCAGAACUGACUCACACAAACAACCUAGUGGAUCAAAAUGAGGCUGAAGUGAAAAAACUGAGAUUUCAAGUAGAAGAAUUGAAAUGGGGACUCAACCAAAAAGAAGAGAAGGUAAUUUAUAAGUAGAAUAUAUGUUGGAUAGAUUCAAAAUUGCAUCUGAUUACAUAGAUAAAGUGUUUUCUUUUUUAUUUGCAUAUGACAUUAAUUGAGAUAGAAACUUCUCAUUUUAAAAACUAAAAUCAGGAGUUCCCUUUGUGGCUCAGCAGUAAUGAACCCAACUAAUAUCAUGAGGUUGUGGGUUUGAUCCCUGGCCUCGCUCAGUGGUUUAAGGAUCCAGGGUUGCCGUGAGCUGUGGUGUAGGUUGCAGAUGCAGCCUGGAUCCUAGUCACAGCAUUGCUGUGGCUGUGGCAUAGGCCAGCAGCUGCAGUCUGAUUCGGCUUCUAGCCUGGGAACUUACAUAUGCCACAGGUGCAGCCCUAAAAUCAACAGAAAUAAGAAAAGAGGAAAAUAUUAUGUAGACAAUAUGCUUAUCUUUGCGGUGCUAAUAGUGCAUUUUUUAUGUUUGCCUUGUAGCUUCAAAUAUGUUUUAGCUUGGUCCGUGUGUGUGUGUGUGUGUGUGUGUGUUUAUGGCAUGAUAUCAUUAAAUCUUGGUGUUUUUAGCUUGAAUCCUAUGUAUUGGAGAAACAUGAUAUAUGUCAUGAUUACGUGUUAUGAUAUAUAUUCUUCCCAGUGCUCUCUGGCAUUAAAAGAAUGUAGACAUCAUAUUUUGUCAUGUAAGGUCAACUUGCUAAUGGUUUAUGGCACGUUUAAGAGAUUUCUGGAAGGGAAAGGCCUAGGUAUGAUGAUUCAACAGCACACCUGCAACAGGGAGGAGUGAUUUUAGCUUCAGUCACAAACAACAAAGAGAUUUUUCUUCAAAGAACACAGUCUCAGAUGUCAGCCUGACAGUGUCUGUCACUAUGGUGUCAGUUACUUCAGAUGAUGUUCCAGGUUCCACAUCUGCUCCUGUCAGGCAACUUUUUGGGCCAAAAUAAUUAGUUCCCUGGUUAGAAAGACUGUUUUCAGAUAGUGCCAAACAAAUUUAAAAAACAAAACAGAAUUGUUUUUCCAAGGGGUAAUUCAAUAGCAGAACACAUUCCACAUUUUGAGAUUUAAUUUUUCAUCAAAACGAUUUUAGUCAAGCAAACCAUAUAGUCUUAUCUAAUAACAUCCUAUGAAAAUCGAAUUAUUUGACCAGUGAGGCUCAUACACCAUCCCCUGAUCUUAUGAGUGCUGACUUGUUGGAAGGCGCUUCAUCCCUGACACAUCUCUUGUAAUGAAGAUAUAUAUGUACUUUGUAAUGAAGUACCAGUGUAGUGAGGCUCAACUGUGGGAGAGUAAGUCAGAAGAGAAAUGUAGUAAGAAGGCCCAGGAAAAUGGUUUGGGCUUUUUGUUUUAUCACAGCCAUUAUUCCUGUGAAUAGUCUGGAUAUACAAGUAUGUGUUGGAGGAGUGGGAAAUAAACCUCUGCGUUUGCUAAUACAGGCUUUGAGAAAUUGCUUGGGACUGAGUCAUCAGCAGGGAAAUCAUGAUAUGAUGCAGGGUUGUAGGGCUAAUGAAGUACUAUGUCCCAAGAUCUGAUUCAGCUAUUUAAUCAUGUAAUUUAAAAAACCAGAUGUGGUUUUAGGGAGGACUAUAUUAGUUGUCCCCUCCCUGCAGGAGAAUCCUUCUCCCCCCAUCAUCAGCCUCAGGGUUGGCACAUGUUACAUUUGCUUGGCCUGAUGAGCAGAAGCACCAUGUGCCACUUACUGUCAGGGGCUUUGAGCCCAAAUAGGGCUCUGCCGUGCCCCUUUCCCCACAUGGCUUUUCUGCCAUCUCUCAUGUCUUGAGGCCAGCAGGUCCAAAAUAGACUUUAUUCUCUCAGCAUGGCUUCUGAAAUGAAAUGGAUGUGGAGCAGAACCUUUGCUGACCCAGAUGGAUGCACAUGGAUUUAAAAAAAAAAAUCCACAUUUGUUGUGGUAAGCCACUGACCUUUUGGAUUUGUUUGUUACUAUAGGAAAACUUAGCUAAAGCUGACUGGUGUGGUCAUUCAACCAAAAAUUACAUUUUAAAAUUAUAUUACAUUGGCUCCAGUGCCAGAAAUAUGUGGUGAGAAAACUUAUUGGUGGUUAGAACUAUGGUAACCCAUUUUAUGGAGUCUUGAAAAGUUUGGUAGGAAGUUUCCUUGUAGCACAGUAGGUUAAGGAUCUGGUGUUGCUGCCGUAGCAGUGGCUCUGUGGCUCAGGUUUGAUCCCUGGCCCGAGAAUGUCCAUAUACUGCGGGUGUGGCAAAAAAAAUGGUUUGGUAUAUCAUUUCCUGUAAUAUCUCAGAAUGCUGAUCAUGGACCAAAUGAGCUUAUGUGUUUAGGUAAGAAAGUAUGUAGCUAGUAUUUCUUGUUUUCUAUUGGGUCAUUUGACAAAUGUGAGGUAAUGCAGAAAGUUAAGUAGCUCUGUGACUUCUAGGGCCUUAUUUGCAUUGCACAUGGUAAUAUAUAAAAAUGAGGAUGGCUUUGAAUACUAAACAAUUAAAGUUGAGCUUUCAGACAAUGGCCAAAUCAAUGGUGUGGCCAUCAAGGUUGUUAGAAACCCUUAAUAGGUCAUUUUCUGUAAAUUCUUAAAGCUGAGCAAAAUGGAACAGGGAGAAGAGAAUGAAAUUUUAUCUCUACCAGAAUAUCUCACAAAUUCAGGGUAACUGCAAGUAGCUCAGAGACAAUGGAAUGUUUCCCAAAGAACUGCAGAUGUGAGAACUGACAUAUGGAAUUUACUGGAAUCAAAAGAAAAAAAGACCAAGUGUUUGUGAAAAUUAUGGUGGCAAAUAAGCUUCCAGCCUAAGAUAAAAGAGAUGGAUUUCUCGAGAUCUGAAAGAACCCUUCAUUCCUCUGAAGUUCAAUGGGCGGGGAGCUGGCUAAGCACACUGUCAGCAUCCUGAGAGGAAAUGACAUCCAGAGCCAUAGUC